UGUAAUGAUAGGCUAGCAGAAGAGGAUAGA
rnacentral:piRNA from 1 species